ensembl:lncRNA
GAUAUUUGAGUUAAAGAGCGAGACUGUUACGCUCUGUGUGUGUGUGUGUGUGUGUGUGUGUGUGUGUGUGUGUGUGUGUGCGUGCGUGCGUGCGUGCGUGCGUGCGUGCGUGCGUGUGUGUGUGCAUGUGUGUGUGUGCUUGCUCUCCAUCCCUGCCCUUUGACCUGCAGAGAGGGGAGCUCUGUUGCCUUAGGAGAGUCCAGAUGAACCUCCUCUCCUCCCUCUUCCUGUCAGUCAUCUCUCCUCAGACGCAGCUUCAUGUGUAAAAGUUUUCAGCGUUGCAGUUUCUGCAAACGUCCAUUAAACCCUGUAAACGGCCAGCAGACAGCACAGUUCACUGCUUCAGAUGUUUCAGGGCUGCCUUUGAAUAUGAUUGGAAAAAUUCCUAUGCAUACACACACACACACACACACACACAUACUGAUGAACACAUGAAGUGGAGGCCCACAUGGCGGGUCCUCUGUAGCAAAACGGACCCUCUGACGGAGCGAGGGAGGAGGCGGAGGAGAAAGAGGAUCAGAUGUAAUCGCUCCCUGAAUGUAAAUAGAACCUUGAGAUUGUCAGUUUUUUUAUUUCCAUUGCUUCUUCUCUAAAAUCAUUGAAUUGCAGUUUGUCUUUUUAUCUUUUGCUCUGUUUGAUUUUGUACUUGUAUUUUGUAUCAACACCCUCCCCUCCAUCGUCUAAUCUUAGGUUUUCCUUUCCUGACGCUUAUUCUUACAGUCUGUCGAGCAGAGAGACAAACCCGACGAAGCGAUUCACGCAAACCAAGCAGAAAAGACCAAAACCAACAACCACUUACUGUAGACAUAAAACUUUAAACGACCUUCCAAGAUGAUAGUUUCCCAUAAAAACAAAGUUCAUUAUUAUCCAGCAAAUAAAUUCUCAUUAUAGUUGAAUUCGUAUUUUGCGCUGUAGUGAGUGUUUGUGACUGCAGGAGGGUGAAUGGGUUUUCCCUCCAUCUGUGGCUCUGAGGUAUAAACUGGUCCCACACCAUCAAACACGAUAUUAUUCCUACUUUUAUUUUCACUUGCUCAUUAGGCCACAAAUGAAUUCAAACAGGCAGGAGCAGUGUAUUUGUUGGGAAGCAGGGAAUUACAUCACUGGUUCUCUACUGUGUGUCUGUGUGACCAUAACCUACAUCUAAAGGAUGGAUGUAGUUUUUGGGCCUCAAAAAGGUGAAGUCAACCUAGAAGUGCCUCAAACCUGCAUUCUUUCCAAAGCCCAGCAGGGGGCGACUCCUCUGGCUGUAUAGAAGUCUGUGACUCAGUGACAGGCCUGUCCUACAUUUUAGGACAGGGCGUCUUGUCCCCUCAGUGCUCACUUCAGGGGUCAAAAAACCAAUCCUACUACAGAAAACUAGAUUUUUGACAGUUUCCAGACAAAAAGUGAGCCCACAUCCAGCACUGGUUUUGGUCUUUUCAGUGGAUUUUCCUGCAAAAGAAAAACUACAAGCGAGCUAGAGAAAACUAGAGUGAACUCAUGGACAGGGAACUGCGUAUCUCGAGCUGAAUAAUCACUGCUGAUUGUGAAAUAACAGCAGCGAGCAAACGCUCGUCUUCCUUCAUGUACAAUAAUCCAAAGUCCGACCUCAUCUUGUUGCCUUGAUGGACGUCUCCCCGCCCUCGACCCCACUCCCGUCCGUCUGUCUCUCUGCUCUGACUCUGCUGUACAGCCCUGUCUGCCUGUUUUUGUCACAGCCUUUUUUAUACGUACAUGGGGAAAAAACAACAAUAUUAAAAAACACUUAAAAAAGACAAAAAUGUAGUUAUGCAUAAUAAUUCUGCUUACAAUAACAACAGUGCUGUAAUCUAAUCAGCCACGAUGAUGACGUCAGUGUCAUCCUCAUGUGGUCAGUAACACAAUGAACCAGUAUCACAGGAUCAAGCAGGGAGGUGAAAGUGGGAGGAUGGGAGAAGAGGAGUCACACAUAUGUAUACAGGG